GGGUCGCAGUUGUAUGCACGACUUUUGGUACAAACAAACAUAAUAGGCUAUGUCUGGCCCACAAAUUCGUUGUUUUUUCAAUGUGGCACUUGCGCUGAUUGAGUGACACCCCUGUCCUAGAUGACUGUCAAGAGAUUCAAAAUGGAAACCAGGUGGAUCAGUUGAGGACAGUGUGGUCGGCUCUCAGACCCUCGUGAGGUCUGAGAGCAGGAAAGGCAGGGACUGGAGAGACUGGACAACAUGCAAAAAGGGCUGAUGGACAAUCACACCCUCCCAGCCUAGGAUGAACCUGGCGUUGGCCUACACUGAGCUGACAGAGGAGCUGGGUCGUGUGAGAGGUCUGGCUGUCAGACAGACUGAGAUCCUGAGGAAGGCAUCCCACAAGCAGAUGGGGCGGAGGAGAUACGAACACACGGCAGGCCGGUGCUAUUUUCCAGCCAGUCAGCAGGAUGUGCAUCAUAGUUCAUUGUGGGGGACGAACCAAGGCACCGACCAAGCUGCUCCUGUUUUUACAGGAAGGGGUAAAAAUAACCAAUCGACAAAGGUUCCACCAUCCGGGACUUAGGGCCGGGGCCGGGGGUUGGGCCGGCAUAACAUGAAAAACUCCUGUUAUGUUUGUUUGUUUGUUUUUAGAUAAAAGGAAAACAGCAAUUUGCACACAACAAGCAAGGAUGCUCUUUGAGGUUGUGUUCCCGGAUCUUUGGUCAAAGUACUGUAGUUAUUUUGUUAUUAACAGGUUAUAAUCACCUGAAAUAUCAUUUUCAACCACUAUGCCAUGCCUAUGCGGUUUUGUCAUAACAGUAUUCUUGUGUUUUAUUGUUGGUUGACAACAUUGUAGUACCAAAGACAUGACCUCAGUUCAUGCCAAGGACUUCUCAGCAGACUGACUUACCCACACAAACGUCCAGGCUGCAGCUCUCCCUGUGUCUCCAAUGAGUGGGCCUUUACUGCAGGACAGGGCUCGAACAGGAGACUGUGGUCAUGAACGGUUAUUAAGGCGCUUGAUUCCAAUCCUUAGAGUUCAUGGUGACUACAUGCAAUGUCGCACGACCCGACCCUUCACACUCCAACUCCGUCACGCCAUGGCCAACAACACGCAUGCACGCACAAACACUACGUCACCCCGCCACCCACGAAUGUUCCACGGCUAAACUGAGUCACAUGAUGCAAUGGCUUGUACUGACUUUUGGUCAAUAGCAGCUUACACACUACACAGACAGGUGGACGCAUUCAUAGACAUACAGGCAUGAUGUGCUUAUAUACAGUGCCUUCCAAAUGUAUUCCGACCCUUUACUUAUUGUGUUACAGCCUGAAUUCAAAAUAGAUUAAUUGUUUAAAAAAACAACCAUUUUCAUGCCUUGCCGUAGAUUUUCAAGUAGAUUUAAGUCAAAACUGUACCUCGGCCACUCAGGAACAUUCACUGUCUCCUUGGUAAGCAACUCCAGUGUAGAUUUGGCCUUGUGUUUUAGGUUAUUGUCCUGCUGAAAAGUGAAUAUAUCUCCCAGUGUCUGUUGGAAAUCAGACAACCAUGUGCUUAGCUUCAUUCCGUUUUUGUGUUUUGUUUUUACCCAUAACAUGAUACAGUCACCACUAUGCUUGAAAAUAUUGAUAGUGGUACUCAGUAAUGUGUGUAUUGGAUUUGCCCCAAACAGAACAUUUUGUAUUCGGGGGAAAAAGGUUAAUUGCUUCGCCACAUUUUUUGCAGUAUUACUGUAGUGCCUUGCUGCAAACAGGAUGCAUGUUUUGUAAUAUUUUCAUUCUGUACAGGCUUCCUUCUUUUCACUCUCUCAAUUAGGUUAGAAUUGUGGAGUAACUACAAUGUUGUUUAUCCAUCCUUAGCUUUCCCCUAUCAAAGGCAUUGCACUCGGUAACUGUUUUAAAUUCGCCAUUGCCCUCAUGGUGAAACCCCUGUGAUUUCCUUCCUCUCCUCGGCUGAGUGAAGAAGGACGCCCGUAUCUUUGGGUGUAUUGAUACACCAUACAAUCACUACAAAGUGUAAUGAAUAACUUCAACAUGCUGAACGGGAUAUUCAGUGUCUUUUUUUUCUUCAUUUUUUUGGUCCUUCAUCCCUUCUGCCAAUAGAAACCCUUCUUUGCGAGUCAUUUGGAAAACCUCCCUGGUCUUUGUGGUUGAAUCUCUGUUUGAAAUUCACUGCUCGACUGAGGGACCUUACAGAUAAUUGUAUGUGUGGGGUACAGAGAUGAGGUAGUCAUUAAAAAAUCACGUUAAACACUAUUAUUGCACACAGUCAGUCCAUGCUACUUAUGUGACUUGUUAAGCACAUUUUUACUCCUGAAUAUAUUUAGGCUUGCCAUAACAAAAGGGGUUGAACACUUACUCAUUUCAGCUUUUCAAUUUUAAUUCAUUUGUAAACAUCAUUCCACUUUCACAUUAGUCAAGGGGUGUGAAUACUUUCUGAAGGCACAGCAUAUUACAUUUAUUUUAGGCCUAUUUGAUGACUUUAUUAAUUCAUUCCAAGUCAACAUAUCCUCUAUAUAGAGCUGCUGCCUGACAAAAAAAUCACUAUUUUAGUAGGUCUUCAAAGUAAAUAAGGCAUACUUUUACGACUGCUGAAACCCAACUAUCAAUCUUAGAUCGAGUAUCGAUACCUCACGAAGCAACCGCUCUCUAUACCUCUCGAUCGCACGUUCUUCUGUCUCUUCUCUUCUCUCCGUCUCAGACCAGACAAGUAGGCGCGCAAUGGAUUAUGGCCAUUAUAGUUAAUUAACACGUUUUCUGCGCUAAACUAUAUAGAAUAUUGGCCUGUUGGAAAAUACAACUCCCUACUACAAAUCACAUAGCUCGGGCUUGAUCUGAUUUAUCUUUAGAGAAACUGCGCAUUGCCCUCACAGAAAACCCCCUGAACCAAAUGGUAUUCAAAUAAUUGAACCGAUGUCAGUUAAAUCGCUCAGCACUAGCCAUUUGGGACACAGACCUGAAAGGCCAAGCUGAGUCCGCACAGGAAACGAGAGGACAUGGACGACGCAGGGAUAUGAGCACACAACUCUGGAAUUCAAGGAUGUUUGAUGCCCCCUCCCCCCUACAUUGAUUGAGGUGUUUGUGUUGCCUCCUGUUAUUGUUAAGACUGAGGACUAAGAAAAAGAAGAACAUUUAAUUGAGUCAAAAUAAGCUCUGUUGCUACUAGCAGCGCCAAGCGCCCCUAACCCACGACUCACCCCCGUGUUCAAAAAGAAGAAAGGCUAUAGAUGAAUAAUUUCAGACAGGUUUAGAAUGAAAAGGAGGAAAAGGCUGUCUUGUAGUUAGGGCAGUAAUUCAUAAAGCGGCCAUGCAGUGACCAAGUUGUUUUGUUUCACACAAUGGAAACUGAUUUUGUUCAGCCCCUUCAGUCACACAUAGCUCUGCAGGCAUUUCCUGACUCACUAUUAAACUCCUAAACACUUAGGCUGCUAGGCAUAUACUGCAAAAAAGCAGAUUGAACACAGAAUAGUAAAGCACAAAAUGCUGUGGGAGAUGAGUUAGCCUUCAUUUCUGAGUCCAUGUUUUAUGUUUGUCUGUCUAGUUGUGUGUGUCAGUCUGGAGCAACCUGUCAUUCUGUCUGUCUAAAUGUCUGCAUCUCCUCUUCUGCUUGUAAUUCCAUCUGUAUCUGGUCUAAGUAGUAGUGUGGCUCACUCUCAUGUGAUCCUCUUCGCCUCACCAGACGGUUCUCCCCGGCUCUCCCUAUCCUAUCAUCACCGCUGAGCUGACUAACUACCUACGCACGGCAGCAGACUUUGGCCCGGGGCAUUCCAAUUCCAGUAAAUGGUUUUGUUUGCGUAAUGUCUCUUAUAAGACGAGUCACCCCAUCUGAACUCACACAUCCAUACUCACACUUAGCCUACCCACGGUGGUGCCUCGGUCGGUGCUGCAAAAGAUAGCGUCGUCGGGGGGGGAAAAAAUAAGUGUUUCGACUGAUAAAGAAUAUCACCUUCCGUACAGAAUAUGUAUAUAUUUUUGUUUCAUUCCUUUCGCACUGAGGAAUGUUUUGAGUGACAAAAUACAGUAUGUGGGCCUUUUUUAUUUAACAAGCACAAACAAGCUGUUAAGGAUUAUAGAUCAGCACUCCCAAGUCCUACCCUGAAAUGCUUGUGAUACACCCCAGCCUGCUCGAAGCUCACCGUGCUGGAGUAAACGAGAGAACUUCCCGUGCCAGCGUUAUGAUAGCUCUUAUUGAACUGGCCUAGUGCCAGACCACCUCCACAGAGGCUUAUGUUUCUUAAGGUGUUUCUACAACUGUCUCGUCUAGUGCAGCGUCUGCUGCUCACCAAAUCAGCCGGUGGAGGAAUAGAGCUGAGUAAAGAUUUCUCUGAUUGACUGUCUGUCUGUAAGGCACCACAACAAACUCAAAAGCCUGGUAGAAUUGACAACAGUGCGUUUGGGUGCCAAUAACCUGUCUGCCAAAUCUUUCCAUGACCAACUCUGAACACACUCCCUGUUUGUUGUGCUCUUGUCCUAGAAUAUCAUAAUGCGCACCGACGGAUAGUGUGUUUCUGUUUUGUUUUAGAUAAGCCUGCAACGGGGCUCUCUCUCUCCAGUAUUCCAACAGAUGUCCUAUAACUUGUUUGUUUUCGAGAGAAGAAGUCCGUCAAAUGAGUGACAGAAGGGAGGACAAAGCACGUGGUGCAUCACUGGAGAGGGGAGAAUCUCUCCCCUCACUCCUCUGGACUUCAAAGGUUACUGGGGUACCUAGGUUCAUCCAGCGACCAGCCAUAUCAAGGCUGACUGAUAAACAUUUGCACAGCCACCAGCAGCAGGGUCCUUUGCUACAUACACAGUGCUGUUGAAGAAUAUGGACAAGGACACAGAGUACUCCGCUACUUAUAUAAACAAGGGUGUGUGUGUUAAGAGUUUCAAAGGAACAAAAUGUUCAAGAUUGACACAAACAGACCAUAGCAUCAUGGACACUGCCUAUAGGUCUAGUUAAACUGGGUCAAAAAGGAAUCUGUAAGAAAACAUUGCAUUUAACCUGGUUUAGAAGGACAGUAAAUACAAUGUGCUGAAAUGAUCAUUAUAGGCAGUGUAAAUUAUUUUUGGGGACAUUUCUUUAGCAAGUCUAUAUGAUGGAAGACAAACCAUUCUUCAGUCCUUUAAUACUGGUAUAGUGUAGCUACAGAUACUCUGAUAUAACAGAUAUAUUUCUCCCUCACUGUUCUCCUUACAGGCCUGUCUGCCCACUCCUCCUAGCUUUCGUUCUUUGCCAACACGUCUUGUACAGAAACUAAACACGACCAGCAUUAAUUCUAAUGGGGUGGGGUACGGCCAAUAGGAGUGCGGUGCCACCCCAAAUGGGCACUGUGCCUAUAAAGUCACUGAGCGGGUUUGCCAGUCACAUUCCUUACACUCCAGUGACAGACUCUCUCUCUCUCCCCCUCUCCUCUACCAACCUCGCACUUAGAGCCGUCACUCACCCUAGUCAGGGGCUGUAUGUAGCCUAUCAAGCGUCUCAGAGUGCUGAUUUAGGAUAGGUUUACCUUUAAGAUCACAAUGGAUAAGAUGAUAUGGACAGGGGGUUUGCCAGUCGCAUUCCUUAAACUACAGUGACAGACACACACACAGACAGACACAUACACACAAUUCAGGUGGAACGGAAGUUGUUACACAUUCAGUUAUUUGUCAAUAUAUAAAUCUAAAACGUAAUCUAAAACCAAUGAACCAGCACAGCAUGGGGCUCCUGAGUGGCGCGUGGUCUAAAGCACUGCAUCUCAGUCAUAGAGGCGUCACUACAGACCCUGGUUCAAUCCCGGGCUGUAUCACAACCGGCCGUGAUCAAAUGUCCCAUAGGACGGCACACAAUUAGCCCAGCGUCGUCCGGGUUAGGGGAGGGUUUGGCCGGUGUAGGCCGUUAUUGUAAAAUAAGAAUUUGUUCUUAACUGACUUGCCUAGUUAAAUAAAGGUUAAAUCAAAUAAAUGAUGACUUGACUUUGAUACAGAGAUUUAAAUCACACUGCCCCUAGGUGUUUUUUUGUACCUGAUCUCUGGAACCUGCUGCUCUCCUUCUUCCCUUUCUCUCCUCCUUUCUUUCUUUCCCAGGGGCCUGCUGAGAGACACUUAACUGUUUCACAGUCAAUGAUUUACACCCGGGAGUGGAGACAGACCGCCAAAGCUUUGCUGGGCUGAGCCCAUCAUAACUGUACGCUGGCCUGAAAAGAAGACUAUAAUACUAUAGUCUUCCUAUACUAGAGGGGAACUUCAAAGUGAACCACAACAGCAGUAGCACGAACUGUGUGAGCAGCAGGUUAGCUUUCCUGAAUCAAUAACAAUUCUACUCUCUCUGUCUCUCUCUAUUCCUUCUCUUUCUCUCUGUCUGUCUUGCUCUUUAUUCCUUCUCUCGCUCGCUUUCUCUCUUUGUCUCGCUGCUUCAUUGGGAAGGGCUUGUGAGCAAGCAUUUCGCAGUAGAGUAUAUUCGAGCGCGUGUGACAAAUCAAAUUUGAUCUCUGAUACAUAUGCCCAUAGCUACAGCUUAAAAGUGGAUCCACAGAAACAUCCUCAUGGAAUGUUGACAAGGCGCUGUCUCAAGGGGAAUGAGGGCAGACGUUUUGUUGCGGCACGCAUAGGCAGACCAUGACUGUUACGUCUUGGAACACACCUCUGGAGUAGCUAAAUACAGGUAACUCUCCACAUCUAUUUUUAUCCUGAAGAAUGGAGGGGCCCCUGACGUCCAUUAGAGUAACAUAACAAUCGCAAGACUGCUAUGCUAAAACUUCAGCUAUAUAGUGGGUUGAAUAAGCGACACUAGUGAUGCACCGAUAUGACAUUUUUGGCCGAUACCCAAUAUUUUCCUUGCCAAAAAAAACGAUACCGAUAACCGAUAUUUAACAUUUUAGCGGCCUUUUAAGCAUUCUAGUACAGUUAAAUAGUUAACACACACACAGACGCAGCGGUCUAAGGCACUGCAUCUCAGUGCAAGAGGCGUCACUACAGUCCCUGGUUCGAAUCCAGACUGUAUCACAUCCGGCCCUGAUUGGGAGUCCCAUAGGGCGGCGCACAAUCCCGGCGUCAUCCGGGGUAGGCCGUCAUUGUAAAUAAGAAUUUGUUCUUAACUGACUUGCCUAGUUAAAUAAAAGUUACACACACACACUGACCAAAAAGUUAUUGUGUUGGCAUUUACGUAUGUUCCCAUUACCAGUAAAACAUCAUCAAAACCUAUUUCUUUCACUAACUUGCUGUGCUGUUUCGUUGUUCAUUUGUUCAGUCAUUUCAUUCUCAACCAGGAUGUCUAUGGAACACCGUUUGGGUCUUUGCGUGUCAAAUAAGCUUGUUGACCAAUCAGGACCUGAAUAUGACUACAUGUCACAAUAAUUUAACGCGUUCAUACAUUUUUUACGUAGUUAUUACACAUUGAUUACACUAUCACUCGUAUUUCAUAUGUCACAACGAUUCAUCGAUACGUAUGCUAUGAUGCUGGUAAAGUUGUCUCCUACAGUUCUGGUCAUAAAAAAAAGCUAGCUAGCUCAUGGAUGCAAACAAUGUUCCCCAAAAACAUAGCAAAACGCCAAUCUGUUUCAGUAGCUAUAGUUAGCUAGCUACCUAUAUAGCUAGGUGUCUUCUAAAAUAACCCUAAUUUAUAAGACAGUUCUUAUUUGAUUAAUGGUGGUCGGACCCAUCUAUGUGAAGCUAGCCACAAUAAGGAUUAGCCACAAUAGUGGACUUUGUGGUUAGCCUUCAAAAUAAAAGUAGGGCAUAAUUCUACUAUUUGUAUUCAUUUGCAUCACUGUCAAUAACAUACUUUUAUUUUGAAGGCAAAGUGCAAAUUCCACUAUUGUGCCUAAUCCUUAUUGUGGCUAGCUUCACAACACAAAACCCGGUCCGGUCGAGCAUCACUAGCCAGAUGACGCUAGCUGGCUGAUUAUAAGGUUAGCUUUGGGCAACAGGGUUAAGUAGCUGGCUAGUUAUUUAUUUUCAUGAACUGAAGUUCAGGCGAACAACAAGUGGCAACCUAGCUAAUACUUACUCACAAGGAUUCCUAAAUCAUUGCUAAGAAUAAUGAAAAUGACUGCAGUUUCUACUGGUCAAUGUUUUCAGGUUGGUUGUAUUGGUGCUAGCUAGGUACCAAGCUAAAGUUAGCUACCCCAGAAGUUGCGGUCGAACAAAUUGCUUUAUUACCAACGCGGUAUUGUAAAAACAUCGUUCGUGGCCGGUGUUUGCUUGUUUGCAGACUUUUUUGUACGGCUUUGACAGUGCCACGGUAUCUUUUUUGACACACAAAGACCCAAAUGGUGUUGCAUAGUAUCUAUGUCGUGAAGCUAAUUGCAGUGACGCUAUCACUGUGUAACUCCGGUAGGGCAACAUCUGAAAAAUAUCGCACUUGGUAGUGUGUACCGGUGCUCGACCAGUCGGCGAAAGCCAACAUCACCCAAGACAGAACAGUUGAUUGUCAAGGGCAAUGAAUUCCAUUAUCUUGGCUUUAAUGGCUUUCACCUUUGAGUUGUCUCGCUGAAAUGUUCUUACUCUUUCAAAUGACUGCUGGACUUGUUGACUGCUCGAUCCACACAACAGACAUUGUGGUCUAGGUUAGGAAUGCUGUGUUGCACGUGUAGGGCAAAAUCUUACGUGCCGUCAUUACGUCAUGUACCUACGUUAUAUAGGUAUGCACGUCAGCUUUGGCAUUGGUUUUGCACAUCGGCGUUAAACUAGACAUCGUCCGAUACCGAUGUUGGCAUUUUUAGCUAAUAUUGUCCGAUUCCAAUAUGUUCACCGAUAUAUCGUGCAUCCCUAAGCAACGCGGUUAUAAAGGCAGUUACAAUUACACAGUUAUCUGUGCCUGUGAGAAGGCCCCUAUUCGUGUCCUUAGAUGCAACAUUAAAAAAAAACAUUUAUAAAUGCCUUAUUUUAAAUUGUAUUACCAUAGCUUAAGUCUUUUUAGAUGAUUUGUGAAGCAUCUGUGUAGUACUUAUGAAUAGUUUAUGAAUGCUCUAGAAAGCAUUUAUGAUAAGCAAGAUUGUCCACCUUUUAAUUGAGAGAUGUGCUCUUCACUGGAAAAGGUCAUCACUCUGUGUAGACAGAAUUAACACUCCAGCUUUGAGAAACAAGUCAACUUCUCUGAAGUUGUCAGAGGGAUUAAUGCCCUCCGUCACUGCAACGGAUUUCCAUCAUAUGGAUUAUGGAGAUGUCGUUUUUGAGGUCAGUGUAGAUCUGCAUUUAAAAUCGACCAGGUAGGCCAGUUGAGAACAAGUUUGUAUGAUUGUUGCUAACACUCCAAUGUUCAGACAAAGGGAAAUGGUCUAUAAUGCGCACCACAGCAGCGCUCAACUCAGACAGAGGUGUGUAGCCUACUGUAGCUGCUGGCAAAGUAAUUCAAAGCCUAUAUCACUCAGGUGCAACUUUCCAGUGCUAAUAUUUUUGCCAUGUAAGGUUGUUAUUAAAACAAAAUCAGACAACCCCAUAGUAGAGUAGUUUACUUAUUUACCUAGUCGGCUUGUUGUGUGUUCAAUGUGAGAGAAGCAUUCCUCGAGGUGCAUUCAAGUUGCGAGAGCCAUAGGUAGGGCAACAUGACAAGCAGUCAAUGCGCAAUUCUUAAUGCAAUCACCGGGAAAACACUUCAAAUCAGUUUUGGCUAAUGUAUUUUGAAAACAGUUUUGGCUUUUGGUUAAACAAAAAAGAGGGGGAUCCAAGUUUUCCAUUGCUACCACUUUAUUUAAACCAGAGUUUCAAGCAUAGUGUACUUUUUGGUGAACGUCGGGAACCAAAUCACAUAAUCUGGCUCCCUGAUUUGCAUCAAUCAAAUCAGGGACCCCCUUUUUCUCUCAGAACAGCCUCACUUCAUUAGGGCAUGGGCUUCACAUGGUGUCGAUAGCAUUCUACAGGGAUGUUGACUCCAAUGCGUCGCACAGUUGUGUCAAGUUGGGUGGAUGUCCUUUGGGUGGUGGACCAUUCUUGAUACACACGGGAAACUGUUGAGAGUGAAAAACCCAGCAGUGUUGCAGUUCUUGACACAAACUGGUGCCACUGGCACCGACUGCCAAACCCGUUCAGAGGCACUUAAAUCUUUUGUCUUGGCCAUUCACUUGAAUGAGACACGUACACAAUCAAUGUCUGUCUCAAUUGUCUCAAGGCUUAAAAAUACUUAACCUGUCUCUCCCCCGCCCCCUCAUCUACACUGAUUUAUGUGGAUUUAACAAGUGACAUCAAUAAUGGGUCAUAGCUUUCACCUGGGCAGCGUAUGUCCUGGAAAAUGGUUUUCUUUAUGUUUUGUAUACUCGGUGUACUUUGCAAUAGAAACCCAAAAUAUAUAUUUUGAGUGAAUAAUAAUUAAUAAUGAUGUAUUUAUAAUAAAAAAAAUAACGAUGUAAUAACAAUCAGGAUGUUGCGUCCAAUAGGGUAAAUGCAUCAAUUGGGCUACAGAUGAUAAUGCUUAUUGCUAAUAGCAAAUCUGAUAAUACAGAGAGGACCACGGACCCACUAAGCAAGUGGACUGGAAUUGGUCAAGUAGGCCUAUAAAAUGAGCAUCUUUGUUACAUGAGGGAAAGUAAAGUUGGCCCCAGACAAUCGAUCUAAGAUACACAUUUUUAAAUCACUUCCCCGUGAUUUCCAAAUAACCCCACCUAUCCGUGAUUCUGCACUGCGGGACAUUGUGGCACAUAGUGAAUUAAUGACGUGGGCCACAAUUUAAUUGACUUGACACAGGGUAGCCUAUAAUUCAGGGGAUAAUUCAUAACGUGAUGGUUGUAAACUAGGCCUACGUAAUGUCCUAUUAGAUAUUAAGCGCGAAUGGAUGCUUAUUGCUUGCUUACCU